AUACGGAGGAUCCGAGCGUUAUCCGGAUUUAUUAGGUUUAAAGGGUGCGCAGGCGGAACUGUAAGUCACCGGUGAAAUCCUACAGCUUAACUGUAGAACUGCCGGUGAUACUGCGAUUCUUGAGUAUAGUUGAGGUAGGCGGAAUGUGUAGUGUAGCGGUGAAAUGCAUAGAUAUUACACAGAACACCGAUUGCGAAGGCAGCUUACUAAACUAUUACUGACGCUCAUGCACGAAAGCGUGGGGAGCGAACAGGAUUAGAUACCCCUGUAGUCC
rnacentral:rRNA from 1 species